AGCGAACGCUGGCGGCAGGCUUAACACAUGCAAGUCGAGCGGGGUGAUGGUGCUUGCACUAUCACUUAGCGGCGGACGGGUGAGUAAUGCUUAGGAAUCUGCCUAUUAGUGGGGGACAACAUCUCGAAAGGGAUGCUAAUACCGCAUACGUCCUACGGGAGAAAGCAGGGGAUCACUUGUGACCUUGCGCUAAUAGAUGAGCCUAAGUCGGAUUAGCCAGUUGGUGGGGUAAAGGCCUACCAAGGCGACGAUCUGUAGCGGGUCUGAGAGGAUGAUCCGCCACACUGGGACUGAGACACGGCCCAGACUCCUACGGGAGGCAGCAGUGGGGAAUAUUGGACAAUGGGGGGAACCCUGAUCCAGCCAUGCCGCGUGUGUGAAGAAGGCCUUAUGGUUGUAAAGCACUUUAAGCGAGGAGGAGGCUCUCUUGGUUAAUACCCAAGAUGAGUGGACGUUACUCGCAGAAUAAGCACCGGCUAACUCUGUGCCAGCCGCCGCAGUAA
rnacentral:rRNA from 1 species